rnacentral:misc_RNA from 1 species
GAUGAAGAACGCAGUAAAAUGCGAUAAGUAAUGUGAAUUGUAGAAUUCAGUGAAUCAUCGAAUCUUUGAACGCACAUUGCGCCCGCCAGUAUUCUGGCGGGCAUGCCUGUUCGAGCGUCAUUUCAACCCUCAAGCACAGCUUGGUGUUGGGACUCGCGUUAAUUCGCGUUCCUCAAAUUGAUUGGCGGUCACGUCGAGCUUCCAUAGCGUAGUAGUAAAACCCUCGUUACUGGUAAUCGUCGCGGCCACGCCGUUAAACCCCAACUUCUGAAUGUUGACCUCGGAUCAGGUAGGAAUACCCGCUGAACUUAAGCAUAUCAAUAAGCGGAGGA